AUGCAAAGAACUUUGAAAAGAGAGUUAAAGAGUACCUGAAAUUGCUGAAAGGGAAGCGAAGGAAACCAGUGCCAGCUUGGUCAUACUUCCCUGGCCGCUCGCGGCUUGGGCGCUGUGGCCGGCGUCUGUUUGGUUUGGUUACGGCUGGCGGAAGAGCUGCGGGGGACUUUGACCCACCGCGUCGCUAGCGCCGGCCCUGACUGAGCCAGACGAAAUGGUUUUCUUUACCCCGUCUUGAAACACGGACCAAGGAGUCUAACAUAUGUGCGAGUACAGGGGUGACAAACCCCCGUGCGCAAUGAAAGUGACAGUGGUUGGAAUAGCAAUUGCACAAUCCGCCGGCCUCAAUCCCACGGGAGAACGGUCUGAGUGUGAGCACACAUGUUGGGACCCGAAAGAUGGUGAACUAUGCCUGAAUAGGGUGAAGCCAGGGGAAACUCUGGUGGAGGCUCGUAGCGGUUCUGACGUGCAAAUCGAUCGUCAAAUUUGGGUAUAGGGGCGAAAGACUAAUCGAACCAUCUAGUAGCUGGUUCCCUCCGAAAUUUCCCUCAGGAUAGCUGCAAUCGAUGUCCAAUUUUAUCA
rnacentral:rRNA from 1 species